rnacentral:rRNA from 1 species
ACACUGUACGAGUUUGAUCAUGGCUCAGAACGAACGCUGGCGGCAGGCUUAACACAUGCAAGUCGAACGCCCCGCAAGGGGAGUGGCAGACGGGUGAGUAACGCGUGGGAACGUACCUUUCAGUUCGGAAUAACUCAGGGAAACUUGUGCUAAUACCGGAUACGCCCGCAAGGGGAAAGAUUUAUCGCUGAAAGAUCGGCCCGCGUUGGAUUAGCUAGUUGGUGGGGUAAAGGCCUACCAAGGCGACGAUCCAUAGCUGGUCUGAGAGGAUGAUCAGCCACACUGGGACUGAGACACGGCCCAGACUCCUACGGGAGGCAGCAGUGGGGAAUAUUGGACAAUGGGCGCAAGCCUGAUCCAGCCAUGCCGCGUGUGUGAUGAAGGCCUUAGGGUUGUAAAGCACUUUCACCGAUGAAGAUAAUGACGGUAGUCGGAGAAGAAGCCCCGGCUAACUUCGUG